CUUUUAACACCACGCCUCUUCUAAAUUCUAAAACCAACUUUUCCCUCAGCCGCCCUUGCUUUCCAUUCGAUCUCACCUCUUACUUACUUCCUUUUCCCUUUCCCAUCUCAUCGGUGCUAGCGAUGUCGACUCCUGCUAGGAAGAGACUGAUGAGAGAUUUUAAGAGGCUGCAACAUGAUCCACCUGCAGGAAUCAGUGGUGCGCCUCAGGAUAACAACAUCAUGCUGUGGAAUGCUGUCAUAUUUGGUCCUGAUGAUACUCCAUGGGAUGGAGGUGAGUCAGUUCUUUACUACAGCUCCUCUCUGUAAACUUAAUUAGGUUAUUUAGCCAUCUUGUGUAUUUCUAAG